UUCUAACCCCGAUGGAAGUGGAAAUCCUUUUUUGCCGCCCGCUGCGCGGGCGGCAAAAAAGAUUGCAGCGGACAGCGGGUACCAGC
rnacentral:sRNA from 1 species